GUCAAAACUUUUCAAGAUAAGGUUCAACUUCAAAAUUGCAAGUUCUGCACUAGGAUUAAGUACAAUGUUAACUUCAAGGAGGCAUCUGAACUUAAAUCAAGGAUGAUUGAGAACAAUGAAUCUCCCUCUCAAGGAUUAACGCAGCUGUCUCAGACUUCCAAACAUACUGUGGAAGAAGACUUUUUAACUCUUACACCUAGGA